UACGAAGGUCCCAAGCGUUGUUCGGAAUCACUGGGCGUAAAGGGUGCGUAGGCGGUUUGGUAAGUCAGAUGUGAAAUCCCGGGGCUCAACCCCGGAACUGCAUCCGAUACUGCCGGACUUGAGGACUGGAGAGGUGACUGGAAUUCUCGGUGUAGCAGUGAAAUGCGUGGAUAUCGAGAGGAACACUCGUGGCGUAAGCGAGUCACUGGACAGUAUCUGACGCUGAGGCACGAAGGCCAGGGGAGCGAAA
rnacentral:rRNA from 1 species